rnacentral:rRNA from 1 species
GACGGGCCGCACAAGCGUGGAGCAUGUGGUUUAAUUCGAUGGUGCGCGAGGAACCUUACCAGGGCUUGACAUGUGCCGGAAGCGCACCGAAAGGUGCGUGCCGCUUGCGGCCGGCGCACAGGUGCUGCAUGGCUGUCGUCAGCUCGUGCUGUGAAGUGUUGGGUUAAGUCCGCAACGAGCGCAACCCCUGCUGCCUGUUGCCACCACGAGAGGUGGGGACUCAGGCGGGACCGCCGGUGACAAACCGGAGGAAGGUGGGGACGACGUCAAGUCAUCAUGGCCCUUACGGCCUGGGCUACACACGUGCUACAAUGGUCGGUACAAAGGGUUGCCAAGCCGCGAGGUGGAGCUAAUCCCAAUAAAACCGAUCGUAGUCCGGAUCGCAGUCUGCAACUCGACUGCGUGAAGUCGGAAUCGCUAGUAAUCGUGAAUCAGAAUGUCACGGUGAAUACGUUCCCGGGCCUU